UACGUAGGUGGCAAGCGUUGUCCGGAAUUAUUGGGCCUAAAGCGUCCGUAGCUGGCCUGUUAGAUGCCUGGGUAAAUCGAUGCGCUCAACGUAUCGAACUCCGGGUAGACCGGCAGGCUUGGGACCGGGAGAGGCGUGAGCUACUCGAGGGGUAGGGGUAAAAUCCUGUAAUCCUUCGGGGAGGACCAGUGGCGAAGGCGUCACGCUAGAACGGCUCCGACAGUGAGGGACGAAGCCCUGGGGCGCAAACCGG
rnacentral:rRNA from 1 species